UUGCAGGUUAUAAGUGCAGCAAAUGAGGUGGUUGAUAGUAUUGACAGAGAUGAAUUGGCAAAAUUCUUUUCACUUAAAUGUGAUCCUGAGGAUGAAGAUGCAGAGAAAAUUAAGAAUAAGAUGGAGACAACUCGUGAUCAACUAGCAGAGGCACUUUACCAAAAAGGACUGGCGAUGGCUGAGAUUGAAUCUGUAAAGGGUGAGAAAGCUGGGGGCUCUGAUCAGCCAGACUUAUUCGAGGAGAACUUUAAAGAACUGACAAAAUGGGUAGAUAUAAAGUCAUCUAAAUAUGGCACCGUCUAAUUUGUUUGGCGU